rnacentral:rRNA from 2 species
AUGGUUAAGUUAGAAAGGGCGCACGGUGAAUGCCUUGGCACUAGGAGCCGAUGAAGGACGGGACUAACACCGAUAUGCUUCGGGGAGCUGUAAGUGAGCUUUGAUCCGGAGAUUUCCGAAUGGGGAAACCCACUGUUCGUAAUGGAACAGUAUCUUUAUCUGAAUACAUAGGAUAUUGAAGGCAGACCCGGGGAACUGAAACAUCUAAGUACCCGGAGGAAGAGAAAGCAAAUGCGAUUUCCUGAGUAGCGGCGAGCGAAACGGAAUUAGCCCAAACCAAGAGGCUUGCCUCUUGGGGUUGUAGGACACUCUAUACGGAGUUACAAAGGAACGAAGUAAAUGAAGCGACCUGGAAAGGUCCGUCGAAGAAGGUAACAACCCUGUAGUUGAAACUUCGUUCCCUCUUGAGUGGAUCCUGAGUACGGCGGAACACGUGAAAUUCCGUCGGAAGCUGGGAGGACCAUCUCCCAAGGCUAAAUACUACCUAGUGACCGAUAGUGAACCAGUACCGUGAGGGAAAGGUGAAAAGCACCCCGGAAGGGGAGUGAAAGAGAUCCUGAAACCGUGUGCCUACAAGUAGUCAGAGCCCGUUAACGGGUGAUGGCGUGCCUUUUGUAGAAUGAACCGGCGAGUUACGAUCCCAUGCAAGGUUAAGCUGAUAAGGCGGAGCCGUAGCGAAAGCGAGUCUGAAUAGGGCGUUUAGUAUGUGGUUGUAGACCCGAAACCAGGUGAUCUACCCAUGUCCAGGGUGAAGUUCAGGUAACACUGAAUGGAGGCCCGAACCCACGCACGUUGAAAAGUGCGGGGAUGAGGUGUGGGUAGCGGAGAAAUUCCAAUCGAACCUGGAGAUAGCUGGUUCUCUCCGAAAUAGCUUUAGGGCUAGCCUCAUGUUGUGAGAGUCUUGGAGGUAGAGCACUGAUUGGACUAGGGGCCCCCAACGGGUUACCGAAUUCAGUCAAACUCCGAAUGCCAAAGACUUAUCCAUGGGAGUCAGACUGCGAGUGAUAAGAUCCGUAGUCAAAAGGGAAACAGCCCAGACCACCAGCUAAGGUCCCCAAGUAUACGUUAAGUGGAAAAGGAUGUGGAGUUGCUUAGACAACCAGGAUGUUGGCUUAGAAGCAGCCACCAUUUAAAGAGUGCGUAAUAGCUCACUGGUCGAGUGACUCUGCGCCGAAAAUGUACCGGGGCUAAACGUAUCACCGAAGCUGUGGAUUGACAUCUUUGAUGUCAGUGGUAGGAGAGCGUUCUAAGUGCAGCGAAGUCAGACCGUAAGGACUGGUGGAGCGCUUAGAAGUGAGAAUGCCGGUAUGAGUAGCGAAAGACAAGUGAGAAUCUUGUCCACCGAAUGCCUAAGGUUUCCUGAGGAAGGCUCGUCCGCUCAGGGUUAGUCGGGACCUAAGCCGAGGCUGAAAAGCGUAGGCGAUGGCCAACAGGUUGAUAUUCCUGUACCACCUCCCCGCCGUUUGAGUAAUGGGGGGACGCAGUAGGAUAGGGUAAGCGCGCUGCUGGAUAUGCGCGUUCAAGCAGUUAGGCUGAUGAGUAGGCAAAUCCGCUCAUCAUAAAGGCUGAGCUGUGAUGACGAGGGAAUUAUAGUACCGAAGUUCCUGAUUCCACACUGCCAAGAAAAGCCUCUAGCGAGGCGGGAGGUGCCCGUACCGCAAACCGACACAGGUAGGCGAGGAGAGAAUCCUAAGGUGAUCGAGAGAACUCUCGUUAAGGAACUCGGCAAAAUGACCCCGUAACUUCGGGAGAAGGGGUGCUCUGGUAGGGUGUAUAGCCCGAGAGAGCCGCAGUGAAUAGGCCCAGGCGACUGUUUAGCAAAAACACAGGUCUCUGCGAAGCCGCAAGGCGAAGUAUAGGGGCUGACGCCUGCCCGGUGCUGGAAGGUUAAGAGGAGGGGUUAUCCUUCGGGAGAAGCUCUGAAUCGAAGCCCCAGUAAACGGCGGCCGUAACUAUAACGGUCCUAAGGUAGCGAAAUUCCUUGUCGGGUAAGUUCCGACCCGCACGAAAGGCGUAACGAUCUGGGCACUGUCUCAACGAGAGACUCGGUGAAAUUAUAGUACCUGUGAAGAUGCAGGUUACCCGCGACAGGACGGAAAGACCCCGUGGAGCUUUACUGUAGCCUGAUAUUGAAUUUUGGUACAGCUUGUACAGGAUAGGUAGGAGCCUGAGAAGCCGGAGCGCUAGCUUCGGUGGAGGCGUCGGUGGGAUACUACCCUGGCUGUAUUGAAAUUCUAACCCGCGGCCCUGAUCGGGCCGGGAGACAGUGUCAGGUGGGCAGUUUGACUGGGGCGGUCGCCUCCUAAAAUGUAACGGAGGCGCCCAAAGGUUCCCUCAGAAUGGUUGGAAAUCAUUCGUAGAGUGUAAAGGCACAAGGGAGCUUGACUGCGAGACCUACAAGUCGAGCAGGGACGAAAGUCGGGCUUAGUGAUCCGGUGGUUCCGCAUGGAAGGGCCAUCGCUCAACGGAUAAAAGCUACCCCGGGGAUAACAGGCUUAUCUCCCCCAAGAGUCCACAUCGACGGGGAGGUUUGGCACCUCGAUGUCGGCUCAUCGCAUCCUGGGGCUGUAGUCGGUCCCAAGGGUUGGGCUGUUCGCCCAUUAAAGCGGUACGCGAGCUGGGUUCAGAACGUCGUGAGACAGUUCGGUCCCUAUCCGUCGUGGGCGUAGGAAAUUUGAGAGGAGCUGUCCUUAGUACGAGAGGACCGGGAUGGACACACCGCUGGUGUACCAGUUGUCUUGCCAAAGGCAUUGCUGGGUAGCUAUGUGUGGACGGGAUAAGUGCUGAAAGCAUCUAAGCAUGAAGCCCCCCUCAAGAUGAGAUUUCCCAUAGCGUAAGCUAGUAAGAUCCCUGAAAGAUGAUCAGGUUGAUAGGUCAGAGGUGGAAGCGUGGCGACAUGUGUAGCUGACUGAUACUAAUCGAUCGAGGACUUAACCAAAC